CAUUGAAGAUGGGCUCUUGGGGGGAGGCUGUGCUGGGUGAGCACUGGUUUCACCAAGUUUGCUCAAAUUACAGUGAGUGCUCUUAUAAAAGAAGAACAAAAAAGGCUUUCUGCUGAGACUAUACACGAUCUGCUGUCAAAGCAACUGCUUGUAAUUCCAACUACUUGAGUAAAGGUU